UACAGAGGUCUCAAGCGUUGUUCGGAUUCAUUGGGCGUAAAGGGUGCGUAGGCGGCGCGGUAAGUCGGGGUGUGAAAUCUCGGAGCUUAACUCCGAAACUGCAUUCGAUACUGCCGUGCUUGAGGACUGGAGAGGAGACUGGAAUUUACGGUGUAGCGGUGAAAUGCGUAGAGAUCCGGAGGAACACCAGAGGCGAAGGCGGCCUACUGGGCCAGUACU
rnacentral:rRNA from 1 species